rnacentral:rRNA from 1 species
ACGUACACUCCUACGGGAGGCAGCAGUGGGGAAUAUUGCACAAUGGGCGCAAGCCUGAUGCAGCCAUGCCGCGUGUGUGAAGAAGGCCUUCGGGUUGUAAAGCACUUUCAGCGGGGAGGAAGGCGAUACGGUUAAUAACCGUGUUGAUUGACGUUACCCGCAGAAGAAGCACCGGCUAACUCCGUGCCAGCAGCCGCGGUAAUACGGAGGGUGCAAGCGUUAAUCGGAAUUACUGGGCGUAAAGCGCACGCAGGCGGUCUGUCAAGUCGGAUGUGAAAUCCCCGGGCUCAACCUGGGAACUGCAUUCGAAACUAGCAGGCUUGAGUCUUGUAGAGGGGGGUAGAAUUCCAGGUGUAGCGGUGAAAUGCGUAGAGAUCUGGAGGAAUACCGGUGGCGAAGGCGGCCCCCUGGACAAAGACUGACGCUCAGGUGCGAAAGCGUGGGGAGCAAACAGGAUUAGAAACCCUGGUAGUCC